AGAGGGUUCGAUUAUGGCUCAGAUUGAACGCUGGCGGGAUGCUUUACACAUGCAAGUCGAACGGCAGCACGGACUUCGGUCUGGUGGCGAGUGGCGAACGGGUGAGUAAUGUAUCGGAACGUGCCUGUAGUGAAGGGGAUAACGCAUGCAAAGUGGUAGCUAAUACCGCAGAUGCCUCGGGGAAAAGUGUGACCUUCGGGGCCUGCACCAUUAGAGCGGCCGAUAUCGGGAUUAGCUAGCUGGUGGGGUAACGGCUCACCAAGGCGACGAUCCGUAGCUGGUUUGAGAGGACGACCAGCCACACCUCGGGACUGAGACACGGCCCAGACUCCUACGGGAGGCAGCAGUGGGGAAUUUUGGACAAUGGGGGAACCCUGAUCCAGCCAUCCCGCGUGUGCGAUAAGGCCUCGCUGAAGCACUUUGCAGGAAGAAACGCACGGGAUGGCUACCCGUGCAACUGACGGUACUCUGCAGAAUAAGCACCGGCUAAACUAUACAGCAGCCGCGGUAAUACGUAGGGUGCAAGCGCGUUAAUCGGAAUUACUGGGCGCAAGCGUGCGCAGGCGGUUCGGAAAGAAAGAUGUGAAAUCCCAGAGCUUAACUUUGGAACUGCAUUUAACUACUGAGCUAGAGUGUGUCAGAGGGAGGUGGAAUUCCGCGUGUAGCAGUGAAAUGCGUAGAUAUGCGGAGGAACACCGAUGGCGAAGGCAGCCUCCCUGGGAUAACACUGACGCUCAUGCACGAAAGCGUGGGGAGCAAACAGGAUUAGAUACCGGUAAACUACACCCAAACGAUGUCAACUAGCUGUUGGGGCCUUCGGGCCUUGGUAGCGCAGCUAACGCGUGAAGUUGACCGCCUGGGGAGUACGGUCGCAAGAUUAAAACUCAAAGGAAUUGACGGGACUCGCACAAGCGGUGGAUGAUGGGAUUAAUUCGAUGCAACGCGAAAAACCUUACCUACCCUUGACAUGUCUGGAAUCGAAGAGAUUUGGAGUGCUCGCAAGAGAACCGAACAGGUGCUGCAUGGCUGUCGUCAGCUCGUGUCGAGAUGUUGGGUUAAGUCCCGCAACGAGCGCAACUCCUUGUCAUUAGUUGCUACGAAAGGGCACUCUAAUGAGACUGCCGGUGACAAACCGGAGGAAGGUGGGGAUGACGUCAAGUCCUCAUGGCCUUGCGGUAGGGCUUCACACGUCAUACAAUGGUCGGGACAGAGGGUCGCCAACCCGCGAGGGGGAGCCAAUCCCAGAAACCCGAUCGUAGUCCGGAUCGCAGUCUGCAACUGACUGCGCGAAGUCGGAAUCGCUAGUAAUCGCGGAUCAGCAUGUCGCGGUGAAUACGUUCCCGGGUCUUGUACACACCGCCCGUCACACCAUGGGAGUGGGUUUUACCAGAAGUAGUUAGCCUAACCGUAAGGAGGGCGAUUACCACGGUAGGAUUCAUGACUGGGGUGAAGUCGCACAAGGUAA
rnacentral:rRNA from 1 species